AUUGAACGCUGGCGGCAGGCCUAACACAUGCAAGUCGAACGAGUGGCGGACGGGUGAGUAAUGUCUGGGAACCUGCCCGAUGGAGGGGGAUAACUACUGGAAACGGUAGCUAAUACCGCAUACCAUCAGAUGUGCCCAGAUGGGAUUAGCUAGUUGGUGGGGUAAAGGCUCACCAAGGCGACGAUCCCUAGCUGGUCUGAGAGGAUGACCAGCCAAACUGGAACUGAGAAACGGCCCAGACUCCUACGGGAGGCAGCAGUGGGGAAUAUUGCACAAGGGGCGCAAGCCUGAUGCAGCCAGGCCGCGUGUAUGAAGAAGGCCUUCGGGUUGUAAAGUACUUUCAGCGGGGAGGCGUUACCCGAAGAAGAAGCACCGGCUAACUCCGUGCCAGCAGCCGCGGUAAUAC
rnacentral:rRNA from 1 species